rnacentral:rRNA from 1 species
AGUGAACGCUGGCGGUAGGCCUAACACAUGCAAGUCGAACGGCAGCACAGUAAGAGCUUGCUCUUACGGGUGGCGAGUGGCGGACGGGUGAGGAAUACAUCGGAAUCUACUUUUUCGUGGGGGAUAACGUAGGGAAACUUACGCUAAUACCGCAUACGACCUACGGGUGAAAGCAGGGGAUCUUCGGACCUUGCGCGAUUGAAUGAGCCGAUGUCGGAUUAGCUAGUUGGCGGGGUAAAGGCCCACCAAGGCGACGAUCCGUAGCUGGUCUGAGAGGAUGAUCAGCCACACUGGAACUGAGACACGGUCCAGACUCCUACGGGAGGCAGCAGUGGGGAAUAUUGGACAGUGGGCGCAAGCCUGAUCCAGCAUACCGCGUGGGUGAAGAAGGCCUUCGGGUUGUAAAGCCCUUUUGUUGGGAAAGAAAAGCAGCAGGUUAAUACCCCGCUGUUCUGACGGUACCCAAAGAGUAAGCACCGGCUAACUUCGUG